GACGAACGCUGGCGGCGUGCUUAACACAUGCAAGUCGAGCGGUAAGGCUCCUUCGGGAGUACACGAGCGGCGAACGGGUGAGUAACACGUGAGUAAUCUGCCCUUCACUUCGGGAUAACCACCGGAAACGGUGGCUAAUACCGAAUACGACCAGUCUUCGCAUGAGGUGCUGGUGGAAAGUCUUUUCGGUGAAGGAUGUGCUCGCGGCCUAUCAGCUUGUUGGUGGGGUAAUGGCCUACCAAGGCUUCGACGGGUAGCCGGCCUGAGAGGGUGACCGGCCACACUGGGACUGAGACACGGCCCAGACUCCUACGGGAGGCAGCAGUGGGGAAUAUUGGACAGUGGGCGAAAGCCUGAUCCAGCAACGCCGCGUGAGGGAUGACGGCCUUCGGGUUGUAAACCUCUUUCAGUACCGACGAAGCGCCCUGUCGGGUGGUGACGGUAGGUACAGAAGAAGGACCGGCCAACUACGUG
rnacentral:rRNA from 1 species